ensembl:rRNA 5S_rRNA 5S ribosomal RNA
UAUACAGCCUUCCCACCUGAAUGUACUCCAUCUAGUCUGAUCUCAAAAGCUAAGCAUGGUUGGGCCUGGUUAGUACUUGGAUGGGAGAAGACAGACAUCAGCCAAGUAAUUGUGAUAA